UUCAGAAAAGAUCUUUAAGGCUUUCAUCCGUGUUCAUCUUUCACUCUCCGGAUUCGGGAGCGACCUCGCUGUGUCGCUGCGAGAGGUCGCUCCGGAUUCGUUGUCUCCGGGUGAUCAAUACGCGAGCGACUCUUCCCUGUCGCUCUAGUAAGGUCGCUCUGAUAGGGAGAUCAGAGCGACUUGACGGUGUCGCUCCCAGCUGGUCGCUCUGGUAAGGUGCUCGCCCAAUGAUCACUUUUAACAUUUCUUUUGGACUCCAAUUGCACUCAAAAUCCCACCAAUGGUCCUCUAAUUCAUCCAUGGUGUUCUCCAACACCUGAUAUGUACAAAUGCAAUGAUAUGCAACCUAAAUGUGUCUAAAUGAUGCUCUAAAUGACCAAACCAUGCAAGAAUAAGAAGUUAAAAACAUGUAAAUUCACAAGAUAUC
rnacentral:lncRNA from 1 species